CUUAGUGGCGGACGGGUGAGUAACGCGUGGGCAACCUGCCCCGUGCCGGGGGAUACCGCCUGGAAACAGGCGCUAAUACCGCAUAAGCGCAUACAGCCGCAUGGCAGUAUGCGGAAAGCUCCGGCGGCACGGGAUGGGCCCGCGCCCGAUUAGCCAGUUGGCGGGGUAACGGCCCACCAAAGCGACGAUCGGUAGCCGGCCUGAGAGGGCGGACGGCCACAUUGGGACUGAGACACGGCCCAGACUCCUACGGAAGGCAGCAG
rnacentral:rRNA from 1 species